rnacentral:rRNA from 1 species
GAUGAACGCUGGCGGCGUGCCUAAUACAUGCAAGUCGAGCGAACAGACGAGGAGCUUGCUCCUCUGACGUUAGCGGCGGACGGGUGAGUAACACGUGGAUAAACUAACUAUAAGACUGGGAUAACUUCGGGAAACCGGAGCUAAUACCGGAUAACAUGUUGAACCGCAUGGUUCAACAGUGAAAGACGGUCUUGCUGUCACUAAUAGAUGGAUCCGCGCCGCAUUAGCUAGUUGGUAAGGUAACGGCUUACCAAGGCAACGAUGCGUAGCCGACCUGAAAGGGUGAUCGGCCACACUGGAACUGAGACACGGUCCAGACUCCUACGGGAGGCAGCAGUAGGGAAUCUUCCGCAAUGGGCGAAAGCCUGACGGAGCACCGCCGCGUGAGUGAAGAAGGUCUUCGGAUCGUAAAGCUCUGUUAUUAGGGAAGAACAAAUGUGUAAGUAACUAUGCACGUCUUGACGGUACCUAAUCAGAAAGCCACGGCUAACUACGUG